AGAGUUUGAUCAUGGCUCAGAGCGAACGCUGGCGGCAGGCCUAACACAUGCAAGUCGAGCGCCCCGCAAGGGGAGCGGCAGACGGGAGAGUAACACGUGGGAACGUACCCUUCAGUUCGGAACAACCCAGGGAAACUUGGGCUAAUACCGGAUACGUCCGUAAGGAGAAAGAUUUAUCGCUGAGGGAUCGGCCCGCGUCUGAUUAGCUAGUUGGUGGGGUAAUGGCCCACCAAGGCGACGAUCAGUAGCUGGUCUGAGAGGAUGAUCAGCCUCACUGGGACUGAGACACGGCCCAGACUCCUACGGGAGGCAGCAGUGGGGAAUAUUGGACAAUGGGCGCAAGCCUGAUCCAGCCAUGCCGCGUGGAUGAUGAAGGCCUUAGGGUUGUAAAGUCCUUUCGGCGGGGAAGAUAAUGACGGUACCCGCAGAAGAAGCCCCGGCUAACUUCGUGCCAGCAGCCGCGGUA
rnacentral:rRNA from 1 species